AUCCCAGAUAAGCUAAAGCAUCGGGUGCUUAUCUGAUUCAUGGGAGGCCAAAAGCAAGGUUGGAAGUUUCGCUGAUUGACGCCUACCUUUUCUUUUUAUCAAUUUGAGGUGUCUACUUAGUAACUUUUCCAAACGUGC